ACGGCGAGUGAAGCGGCAAAAGCUCAAAUUUGAAAUCUGGCGCCUGCAAGUGUCCGAGUUGUACUUUGGAGAGGCAUCUUCGUGAGGGGUCCAGCCUAUGUUCCUUGGAACAGGGCGUCACAGAGGGUGAGAAUCCCGUUCGUGGCUGGAUACUCCUUGCAGUAUGUAGUGUCUUCAAUGAGUCGAGUUGUUUGGGAAUGCAGCUCAAAAUGGGUGGUAAAUUUCAUCUAAAGCUAAAUAUUGGCGAGAGACCGAUAGCGCACAAGUAGAGUGAUCGAAAGAUGAAAAGCACUUUGAAAAUAGAGUCAAACAGUACGUGAAAUUGUUGAAAGGGAAGCGCUUGAGAUCAGAGUCAGCCUUUGACAAACAACAUUCCUUAUGGAUAGUGCACUUGUUAUUGGCUGGGCCAGCAUCAGUUGGGACGGUAGGAUAAAGGCCUUGGGAAUGUGACUCCCUUCCGGAGUGUUAUAGCCCUUGGUGCCAUACUGCCUGCCCUGACUGUGGACCGCGCUUCGGCUUGGAUGCUGGCUUAAUGGUCUUCAGCGGCCCGUCUUGAAACACGGACCAAGGAGUCUAACGUCUAUGCAAGUGUUUGGGCUCAAAACCCUCACGCGUAAUGAAAGUGAACGGAGGUGGGAACCCUGCAAGGGGUGCACCAUCGACCGAUCCUGAUGUCUUCGGAUGGAUUUGAGUAGGAGCAUAGCUGUUGGGACCCGAAAGAUGGUGAACUAUGCCUGAAUAGGGUGAAGCCAGAGGAAACUCUGGUGGAGGCUCGCAGCGGUUCUGACGUGCAAAUCGAUCGUCAAAUUUGGGUAUAGGGGCGAAAGACUAAUCGAACCAU
rnacentral:rRNA from 1 species